GGGGACGGAUGGGGCACUGGUGGCCUCCGCGGUCUUCAAAACCGUUUGCGUCCAUGUCACACAUGGAUGGCUGGGUUCGAUUCCCAGACGUUCCCG
rnacentral:tRNA from 1 species